UACUACCCUGACUGCACGUGAUCUUGUCUGAUCUCACUAGCUAAGCAUGGUUGGGCCUAGUUAGCACUUAAAUGGCAGAAGGACUUAGCA
rnacentral:rRNA from 1 species